rnacentral:pre_miRNA from 1 species
AGACCAAUCACUUAGGGAUCUUGUUAAAAUGCAGACUCUGAUUCAGUAGGUUCGGGGUGGGGCCUGAGACUCUGAAUUCUAAUAUGUUCCCAGGUGAUAUGGAU